UGAAAUAGUUGAAUAAUUAUUUAUAAUAUUAUUCAGAGCAGUAUAAUCAUAUUAUUAUUAUAUCUACAAGUCUUUAUUAAUAUAAUAAGCAAAAUAAAAUUCAUGUAUACAAAUGUAGUUUAAGGUAAAGUAACAGCCAAUUGUAGGAGCGGGUUGUUAGCUCCGCCCCUUCCAGCUUGCCGGCAGAGAGAGACACGGAGCAGAGACGAGACCGGUUAUCUGAGCAAUAGAGAGGAGUAAACUUGAACAAAAAGGAUAGAAUACGUGCACUGACGCCAUUUUGAAAUCGCGUGUGUGUGAAAAGGCCAUAGAGAGAUAAAGGCAUUGUGAAUUUGACAGGCCAGGUUUUUUUCUGAGGAGAUUUUCCCGGUUUCCCUGGAUUCUUUGUAUUGAGGGCGAGCCUCCCACGUCGACCUGGAAAGUCGUGAAGUACCCAAAUUUUCAGUUUAUCCUCCUUUCACCGGAUAAAGUAAGAAUAUACCAAAAAGUUAUUUCCUUUAAUGGACUGGGAUUCCGAACACAGCUGUAAGGACUGAUUUUCUUGACAGAAAAAAACAGAACUUGAACUUAAUUGAACUGAGUUCACUGAUUUCAGUGUGAACAACCAUACUGAUUUAUUUGUGUUAUUUUUAUGGUUUCUUUUGGUUUUACUUGAACUUAUUUAUUGUGAUUUUGUUUUUUGAUUUAUGACAAUUGUAAAGUGGGUGCACCCUGGGGACCAUGUGUAAAUAGUUUUGUAUUUCUAAGGUAAUUAUUGUUUUCUGAGAAAAAUAUAAGGAAAGAGAAAAAACAUACAAUCCAAAGUAAAAGUAUUUUUAUAUUUAAAACAUACCUUUUGUGUCUGGUUAUUGCUCAGUUACACCC